GUACGAUCCUUAUGAGUUAAGAUAACGCGUAAAAAGUACAAAAAAAAAUUUGUUUUUCGUUUUAUUUUAUACUGUCGUAUCUAUUAAAAUUUAUGUAAUAAAAUUAGAUUUUUUUUUUUUUUUUUUUUUUUUUGUAGAUUAGUACUGAGCAAGUAGGUACCAAAGUUACAGUUGGUUUAUUAUUUCGUUUGUUUCGGUAGAUUGGUAAUAUUAGUCUUUUGAUAUACAACGACGUUGUUGUUUUACUGUUUGGAUUGUUUUUUUUAAAUCCAAAUUCCGCGAACAAAAUCACAGGUUUCUCGGCACUCUGCAACAUCAAUGAGACUGAGACCAUUGUGCGACAAUGAAACGAAAUAUGAGCGUAUGAAUAGAUCGGGCAGUUAGCGUAACAUCACUGAAUAAAAACCGGCUUAGGGAAUCAAGCAUUGCAUGUUUACAGCGUUUAAUCAAACUACAAGUGAAGUAAAAUGUUAUUAGAGCACGUAGGCGAACCAACCUAUUAAAU